rnacentral:tRNA from 1 species
GAGUCUGUAGCUCAGUUGGUCUAGAGCGCUUCCCUGACACGGAAGAGGUCGCUGGUUCGACUCCAGUCAGACUCACAA